UAGGGAAUCUUCGGCAAUGGACGAAAGUCUGACCGAGCAACGCCGCGUGAGUGAAGAAGGUUUUCGGAUCGUAAAACUCUGUUGUUAGAGAAGAACAAGGACGUUAGUAACUGAACGUCCCCUGACGGUAUCUAACCAGAAAGCCACGGCUAACUACGUGCCAGCAGCCGCGGUAAUACGUAGGUGGCAAGCGUUGUCCGGAUUUAUUGGGCGUAAAGCGAGCGCAGGCGGUUUCUUAAGUCUGAUGUGAAAGCCCCCGGCUCAACCGGGGAGGGUCAUUGGCAACUGGGAGACUUGAGUGCAGAAGAGGAGAGUGGAAUUCCAUGUGUAGCGGUGAAAUGCGUAGAUAUAUGGAGGAACACCAGUGGCGAAGGCGGCUCUCUGGUCUGCAACUGACGCUGAGGCUCGAAAGCGUGGGGAGCAAACAGG
rnacentral:rRNA from 1 species